CUUCUUUAUCUAUAGGGAGUGGAGCUAUUAUAUAAACAAUACAUACCCCGGAGCCUCAAAACUCAGUGGUGGAUGUCUGACAGCACAAUGAAAGUUCUCAUACUGAUCGUUCUUGUUUUGUCACUGGUUGUCUUGGCAACAACAGCUCCUGCCAUGGAGAGAAGCUUUUGGGCGACAUUAUCGACAAGGUGGUACCUCACCCGGAUUGUAAAACUAUCACCUGUCUUGUGCCACCAUGCCCGUGUCUCAUUUUGGGAUGACCUGAUAUACAAGGCAAUUAAACGUAAUACGACUCUUACGUGUUACAGCUCAUUC